rnacentral:rRNA from 1 species
ACGAACGCUGGCGGCGUGCUUAACACAUGCAAGUCGAACGGAAAGGCCCUGCUUUUGUGGGGUGCUCGAGUGGCGAACGGGGGAGUAACACGUGAGUAACCUGCCCUUGACUUUGGGAUAACUUCAGGAAACUGGGGCUAAUACCGGAUAGGAGCUCCUGCUGCAUGGUGGGGGUUGGAAAGUUUCGGCGGUUGGGGAUGGACUCGCGGCUUAUCAGCUUGUUGGUGGGGUAGUGGCUUACCAAGGCUUUGACGGGUAGCCGGCCUGAGAGGGUGACCGGCCACAUUGGGACUGAGAUACGGCCCAGACUCCUACGGGACGCAGCAGUGGGGAAUAUUGCACAAUGGGCGGAAGCCUGAUGCAGCAACGCCGCGUGCGGGAUGACGGCCUUCGGGUUGUAAACCGCUUUCGCCUGUGACGAAGCGUGAGUGACGGUAAUGGGUAAAGAAGCACCGGCUAACUACGUG